GCUGGGAGGAGGCAGGCCUCUUCUGGCAUCGCGUUCUGUUGGACAGAGAACCCAGGACUGUCAGACGGCGAAGGGUUAGGAAGUGCGCGCAGCCUCGCCGACCCCUGCCCCGUCCGAGAGCCGGAGCUGUUGUCGAUCGAGGGCCCGGCCGUUGCGCCCGGGGCGCGCGGGCCUCGCAGAGUCGCGACGAGUCCCUGCGCCUCCUCCCAGACGCGGCGCCACCGAGAGACAGACCACCGGCUCCCGCUUCAUUUCAGGGGCUGACGAGGGGAAAACACUGCUGCGCCCCUGGCCGAAGGAGGUAAACCCAAGUAGAAAGGGCGAUCAAAAAUUAAUUUGGUGCACUGUUCGGGAGCAGCUCCCUGUCAAAACUCUACGGAGACGUUGGCACAAGCGGCAAACGGAUUCACAGACAAAGGAAAACAAUACAAGUCUCGUUAGAUCAUUUUUCUGGACAUUAUUUAAGGUCUGAAAGGGACCAAAUCGUUUCAAAAUGUUGCCAGUAAAAAUUAUCCUAUGUGGAAUGCAACUAAUCCUUUUAGGUUCCUGUCAACUGUUUCCACAAAAGGAAUCCGAUUUUUCAAAUCAAAGAUCCAAAAGUCUUUGGGGAGAGAUUUAUUACAUGCCAGAGCUUUAGUUACAGAAUAGAGUUACAAUAACAACUCGCACCCACCAACUCCCCAAAAUAAGGGAUCCCGUCCCACACAGUUCUAAUGACGUGUGGGGGAUGGUUUGCUGGAGUCCUGCUAAAUAUGCAGAUAGGAGGAGAGGGGGGGAAGGGGGAGGAAGGCAGAGAAAUAUUAAAUUCCUUAAAUAGACCAACAGAACGCAGCGCCUCAACAUCUUAUUUUUGUUCUCUGUACCCCCGGUUCCUUUUGAAGAGGAAAACAAGACCCAAACUUGGUGACCUGCCCCCCAGUUUAGAACUUUAAGGUGAGCUUAAUGCUUGAGUCCUGAAAAACUCUUCCGAACCCUCUCUGAGUUUGCAUAUUAGUGUGUCUACAGUGUCUGCAAGUGGAAAAUAUUUAAAAAUGAGAAAAGAAUACAAGAAAAUAUUUUUUCUUUAAAAUUUUUAAAAAUUUAAAGUUUUUCUUUGAUUUGGAAUACAGUGUUUAAGAACAAGAAAAAUGUGCCCCAGGGCUUUUCACUGUGCCUCUGUAUAUGAGUCUUUCCACAAACUCAUGUGAACAGAAAUGCAUUCCCUGUAGGUCACAGCCUCAGUUCACCGUAGUAUGAGCAUUUUGUGAUGAGCCUGAUCAUGAAGAUCCUCCGCCUCCUUUUCAGUUCUUCACUGAUUAGAACUGGUGGCUAGGGAUAAGACUGAUGGGUGAAUGACUGGUAAAAAGCCUUAAAAACUUGAGAAGAAACUCAAAUUCCUAGUUCUCUGAGUGGAGGAGUUUAGUGCCUCCAUACCAUAUAGGCACCAAGCUCUUUUAGGUGCUUUGUGAAUGAACUGCCACACCAGUAGUUUCAAGAAGCAACUUCAGUUUAGUUUACAGACAGUUGAGUUUGGGGUUUUUUUGUUUGUUUGUUUGUUUUAUGGUUCUGUUAAGUGGAGAAGUGAAAAUAGAUCUUCCUAGCCUUCCCUCCACCCCAUUGUUUGCUGCUGAAAUGGCUCGUUCCUCUUGCUGCCUGAGUUUCUGUUAUUAGAGGCAACUUGGUGGUGGGAAUUCUUGCAUUUGUUCCCUGUAUUUAAAUUGGGAAUAAAGGGAUUUGCAUUAUAGCAGGUGCUCAAUAAAUACUACAGACUCAUCCCACUUUUCAAAGCUUAGAGGUUAAAGAGAUGAUUAGUAGGUAAAUAAUUAGAGAAAAGAAAUAGAACAAGAGACUAGAAGAGGGAUUUAAAACACCAUCACUUUGUUUAUUUUAGAAGGGAGGAGAAAGUUAUCUGUCCAAAUAUACAUCUGACUGAGGUAAGAGAAAACACAAUGCCACCUCUUUUUUCCUCAUUUCUAGUAAGGGUUAAAUAACAAUUUAUUUCCUAGAUAGGGUGGGAAUGUUGAAGAAAGAUGAGCUUUACAGGAGGCCAAAAGUUUCUCUUAACUAAUUUAAGGAUUUGGGUAUACUCCAAAGUUUAGAGGUUUUUCAUUUCCUGGAAGAAUAUGGAUGUGGAAAUGAAGCCACAAAAGAAUCAUCAGUCUAUAUAUGUGUGGAGGUUUUAUGUCUUCCAAAAAUAUUUUCAUAUAAAUUGGCUUAUUGAUUCUCAAAACCCAUCACCACACUCCCCCCCCCCAAAUAUAAAUGAGUGUGAAGAAAACUGAUCUAAUAUUUAUUUUUAACUGAGUCUUAUUUCUUCUGUUGCAAUCUCUGGAGGGUUUUUUUUUGGUUUGUGGUUUUCCCCCCUCAUUUAACAGAAUACAGUCUUGUCACAGUCAUUUUCAUAUAUAUGAAACUCUGCAUAAAAAAUAAAAAUAGAAAUCAAAAACCAAAUUAUUGUUCAUUCAUAAUAAUCCUUCAUUAUUGACUUGUCAGAAAAUGCUUCACACCUUUUAUUGCUGAAAAUAUCAGCCUUUUAGUUAUAUUAAAGGAAAUUCCUAAGCUAGUGCUCAAAGAAGCUUCUGCUCUCUGCCAUAAUUAUUAUCUGCUCCCCCUUUCUUUGCCAGUCUGUUAUCGAUCAGAGUUGCAAUUAAGAGACACUCCGUAGUUUGUAUCUGUCUUCCUCUGGGACAGACAGACCCCAGCAAGGCCCAUGGCCUCAGAUCCGUUCUUUCCUGGUGCUCUAGGGACUUGCUGGACCUAUGGAUGCAUUACAUAGAAUUCUGCCUAAUGGACCAGAUAGAUUCUCCUUAACGGUAGCAUCUUACAUAAAGGGAAACAUCCUAUCUUGAAAAAUAGAGACACUCUCACUUUAAGAUUAGAAAAUUAUCUUUCCAGACUUAAUUUCAAAUUCAGAAUUAGAAUUUUCCACAUUCCUGAAGAUUCUGAUUUCAAUACACUGCAUUUCUUCCUGAAAUGGGGUUUUGUUGUCUUUUACAACUUAGAAUUUAGAAGGGGAAAAAAGCAUUUGCAAAAACACUUUCUCUGAUGGAUACAUGUGUAUGUUUGGCUGAGUCCUUUUGCUGUUCACCUGACACUAUCAUAACAUUGUUAAUUGGCUAUACCCCAAUACAAAAUAAAAAGCUUAAAGAAA
ensembl:lncRNA